rnacentral:RNase_P_RNA from 1 species
UAAGCGAGCCGGAUGGUCGCGCUUUAACCGGUGAGGAAAGUCCGAGCUCCACAGGGCAAAAUGCUGGGUAACGCCCAGGCGGGGCAACCCGACGGAAAGUGCAACAGAGAAUAGACCGCCAACGGGUGUCUUUAUGGCACUGCGGGCAAGGGUGAAACGGUGGGGUAAGAGCCCACCGCGUGUUUGGUGACAAACAUGGCACGGUAAACCCCAUUUGGAGCAAGGCCAAAUAGGAGCGGAUGAGGUGGCCCGCCUCGUUAUCACGUUCGGGUGGCUGCACGAGGCAUUGGGUAACCAAUGUCCCAGAUAAAUGAUCAUCCAUUCGGGCAACCGAAUGACAGAACUCGGCUUACAGGCUCGCUUUAAAC